GGGGAUUUAGCUCAGUGGCAUAAGCACCUGCCUUGUAAGCAGGCAGUCGUGAUCCCUG
rfam:Cavia porcellus supercont2_3 genomic scaffold, whole genome shotgun sequence.